rnacentral:misc_RNA from 1 species
UUUCCGUAGGUGAACCUGCGGAAGGAUCAUUAUCCAUCUCAAACCAGGUGCGUUCGCGGCCCCCGGGGGGUUCCUCCCGGAUGGUAGGGCUAACACCCUCACGCGCCGCCUGCCUGCACCCUCUUUGUACGAGUACCUUCCGUUCCCCUUCGGCGGGGCCACCUGCCGCGGGAACCAAAACAAAACCUAUUUUGCAUCUAACAUUACCUGUUCUGAAACAAAUAAUCGUUAAAACUUUCAACAAUGGAUCUCUUGGUUCUG